AGCGAAUGGGAUUAGAUACCCCAGUAGUCCACGCCGUAAACGAUGGAUGCUAAGCAUUGGCAGUAUCGACCCUGCCAGUGCUGCUUAACUAAGCUAACGCCUUAAGCAUCCCGCCUGGGGAGUACGAGCGCAAGCUUAAAACUCAAAGGAAUAGACGGGGACCCGCACAAGCGGUGGAGCGUGCGGUUUAAUUCGAUAAUAAGCGAGGAACCUCACCCAGACUUGACAUCUAGCUGCAGAAUCCGAGAAAUCGGAUAGCCUUCGAGGGUGCUAGACAGGUGCUGCAUGGUUGUCGUCAGCUCGUGUCGUGAGAUGUACCGUUAAGUCGGGAAACGAGCGCAACCCCUAUCCUAUGUUUUACAUGUCAUAGGAAACUGCCCGCUUUAAGUGGGAGGAAGGUGGGGACGACGUCAAAUCAGCAUGGUCCUUACGUCUGGGGCGACACGCGCGCUACAAUGGGAAGCACAAUGGGACGCCAAACCGCGAGGUGGAGCAAAUCCCUUAAAACUUCUCUCAGUUCGGAUUGGAGUCUGCAACUCGACUCCAUGAAGUCGGAAUCGCUAGUAAACGCGUAUCAGCCACGGCGCGUUGAAUACGUUCUCGGGUCUUGUACUCACCGCCCGUCACACCAAGAGAGCCGGCAAUACCCGAAGGCCCCGCUUAGCGGGGACGAAGGUAGGGCUGGUGAUAAGGGUGAAGUCGUAACAAGGUA
rnacentral:rRNA from 1 species